rnacentral:rRNA from 1 species
AUUGAACGCUGGCGGCAUGCCUUACACAUGCAAGUCGAACGGCAGCACGGGAGCAAUCCUGGUGGCGAGUGGCGAACGGGUGAGUAAUAUAUCGGAACGUGCCCGGUCGUGGGGGAUAACGUAGCGAAAGCUACGCUAAUACCGCAUACGAUCUACGGAUGAAAGCGGGGGAUCGCAAGACCUCGCGCGAUUGGAGCGGCCGAUAUCAGAUUAGGUAGUUGGUGAGGUAAAGGCUCACCAAGCCGACGAUCUGUAGCUGGUCUGAGAGGACGACCAGCCACACUGGGACUGAGACACGGCCCAGACUCCUACGGGAGGCAGCAGUGGGGAAUUUUGGACAAUGGGCGCAAGACCUGAUCCAGCAAUGCCGCGUGCAGGAUGAA